rnacentral:lncRNA from 1 species
CCACCUGUUAGGAAAUGAAAAACAAACAAACAAACAGGCAUUAACGCUGCGGUGCCUGCAGUCGUUUCCAAAAACCAACCAAUCACGUUCAGGUGUACAGUUAUAGACUGACGUUGAUCAGACAGGUCCCAGACAGGCCCCACUGGGCCACGUUCAGGUGUACAGUUAUAGACUUACGUUGAUCAGACAGGUCCCAGACAGGCCCCACUGGGCCACGUUCAGGUGUACAGUUAUAGACUUACGUUGAUCAGACAGGUCCCAGACAGGCCCCACUGGGCCACGUUCAGGUGUACAGUUAUAGACUGACGUUGAUCAGACAGGUCCCAGACAGGCCCCACUGGGCCACGUUCAGGUGUACAGUUAUAGACUUACGUUGAUCAGACAGGUCCCAGACAGGCCCCACUGGGCCACGUUCAGGUGUACAGUUAUAGACUUACGUUGAUCAGACAGGUCCCAGACAGGCCCCACUGGGCCUCCUCCACCUCCUUCACCGUCAUGUUUCUAUACAGGCCCGGGCUGUGGCCGUACAUGGAGGUAAAAUAGGCACACAGGAAUCCGUAAAACCGGUUCUGGUUCCUCUGUGUCCUCGUUUCUUCCGAGAUUUCUGUUGGAUAAUGAGAAUAAAAACAGGAUAGCUUCCAUAAUGUCCUGUAAACAUCUAUAAUAAUAACAGACAGCUUCCAUAAUGUCCUGUAAACAUCUAUAAUAAUAACAGACAGCUUCCAUAAUGUCCUGUAAACAUCUAUAAUAAUAACAGACAGCUUCCAUAAUGUCCUGUAAACAUCUAUAAUAAUAACAGACAGCUUCCAUAAUGUCCUGUAUACAUCUAUAAUAAUAACAGACAGCUUCCAUAAUGUCCUGUAAACAUCUAUAAUAAUAACAGACAGCAUAAUGUCCUGUAAACAUCUAUAAUAAUAACAGACAGCUUCCAUAAUGUCCUGUAUACAUCUAUAAUAAUAACAGACAGCUUCCAUAAUGUCCUGUAAACAUCUAUAAUAAUAACAGACAGCAUAAUGUCCUGUAAACAUCUAUAAUAAUAACAGACAGCUUCCAUAAUGUCCUUUAAACAUCUAUAAUAAUAACAGACA